CGAGCGAUCCUCCCACCUCAGCCUCCCCAGUUGCUGGGACUACAGGCACGGACCACUGCGCCUGGCCAAAAUAAUCAUCUUAAGCUCAGUGAAUUACAAGAGAACACAAAUAGACAACUGAAUGGAAGACAAAACAUGAACAAAAUGACAAAUUCAACAAAAAGAUAGAAACACUUUUUUAAAAAGGACUAAAGAAGUGGACUUCUGAGUCACGGCGGAGCAGGCUAUCAAAUGGAGGUGGGAAAGUUUGGCCCACCGGAAUGAUCACCAAGACAUACAAGGUAGAACUGGGCCCUGGGAUUCUAGAGAAGAAAAAGAAGAAAGUGGUAAGAACCAGAGACUCAAUACUCAGUUUUAAACAAAGAUGAUUACUUUGCUGAUGUUUUUCCUUUAAGAGCCAUAUCCUCCACUAAGAGUGUGGUCCACGGGCAGGCAUCUGAGAUGCCUCUAGCAAAGAAAAAGAAGAAGAAAAAGAAAGGUGUCAGCACCCUUUGUGAGGAGCAUGUAGAACCUGAGACGACGCUGCAUGCCAGACGGACAGAGAAAUCAUGCAGCCCCAGGAAGCAGGCACUUGGCCCCUUGGAGUUCCUCAGUGGGGAGAAGAGAAAGAAGAAGUCACCCCUGGCCAUGUCCCAUGCCUCUGCGGUGGAAACCUCCCCAGACCUCAGACAGGGUGAGGAGGAAAGCAGAGUAGGCAAGAAGCUCAAAAAACAGAAAAGGAAAAAAAGGGGGCCCAGGACCCCACAGACUUUUCAGUCCAGGACCUUUGGUUCUGCAAAGCCAGGGAUGCCACGGACACUUGCUCAGUGGGGAAGGAGGGUGAGGAACAGGCGGGCUAGGGUAGAAACAGAAACAGAAGAGCUCCAGGGAACACGAUGGGAAGGUGAAGAAGAAGAAAAAAAUCCACCAGGAGGGAGAUGCCCUCCCAGGCCACUCCGAGCCCUCCAGGUCCAUGGAGAUUAGCCCUAGGAGGAAGUAGAAAGAAGCCAGUCAAAGCUGAGGCUCCAGAAUACAUCCUCAUAGGAGAUGGCCUGAAGGCCCCCCGUGAAGAAAAAGAUGACAUCCAAGAGGAAGAUAGAGCAGCCAGUCAUCCAGGAGCUGGCUCUGAAAAGGAAGAAGAGGAAAGAGAGUGGGGUAGCAGGAGACCCUUGGAAGGAGGAAACAGACACGGACUUAGAGGUGGUGUUGGAAAGAAAGGCAACACAAGGAGCACCUGUAGACCAGCUGAGGUGAAAGGCCUUGCAAGAAGAGAUCGAUCGUGAAUCAGGCAAAACGUAACCUUCUGAAACCAGGAAGUGGUUCGGAACCCCAGUUUGGCCCAUGGGAUAAUGCAGGUUUUGAGAACCAGGAACAGAAACUGAAAUUUAUCAGACUUAUGGGUGGCUUCAAAAACCUUUCCCCUUCAUUCAGCUGCCCACCUCCCCCACCGCCAGCACGAUUACAUGGCUCUCACAAGAAGGCAGUUGACAGCCUGCAGCAGAACCUGCAGCGGGACUGUGACCAGGCCAAGAGCUGGAAGUACAGCCACGGAGCCGGCCUCUGCUUCUCCAAGCCCCCAGCUUCUCCACCACCCCCAACAAAUUCUUUUAUAUUGACAGGAACACUUCCAAGUCAGUCAAGCUGGAAGACUAAACUCUAGAGUUUUGUCCCCCCCCCCAAAACUGCCACAAUCGCUUUGAUUAUCCCAUGUAUACUGGAGGUUACACAUUUGUGUGUGUGUGUGUGAAAAAUCAGAUCUUGGUGAUGACCUUGAGCAGUAGGAUAUAAACAACUCCCAUAAGCUUAGCGUUCCAAUAAUGGAACACUAGGCAUAUAUGGGUUAUUCAGUUGUGCAGGUGAAAGCCACCUGACAGUUGGCUCACAUUUAAUAGCUGUGGAGGUUAAGGACAGGAACAAUGAUCUCGAUGGGCUUGAAUGAACUGGGGCGGGGCAGCUCGUGUUUCUCAAAUCUCCUGGUUUGUGUAUUAAACAUUCCAUCCCUGUUUGAGACAUCAGUGUGUACAGAUGAACUUGGUUGAGUGUUUAGCAGGUGCUAGGCACAUGCUAGUGUUUUUUGUAAUAUAUUUAAUCUUCAUAAUUAUGAAAUGGGUGCUACUAUUAUCCCCAUCUUAUAGAUAAGGCAACUGAGGUUCAGGGAUAAAGUAAUAAAAUAAAUUACCUGGGGUUACCCAGCCACAAAAACAAAACAACUAAAAAGAAAUUCUGGAGCUAAAGAAAACAAGGACUGAACUGAAAGGCUUCAUGGAGAGCUUCAACAGCAGAUGUGACCAAGAAGGAAGAAUCAGUGAGCUCAAAGGCAGGACAUUUGAAAUUAUCCAUUCAAAGGAGCAAAAAUAAAAAAGAAUGAAUAAUUCUGAAAAGGCUCAAUAGGCUUAUGAGAUACCAUUAAGUAAACCAAUAUACGCAUUAUGGAGGUGCUCCAAAAGGAGCAGAAAAGGUGAAAAGGAGAGAAAACUUGUUUACAAAAACAAUGACAGAAAAAUUCUGAGGCCAGGUGUGGUGGCUUAUGCCUGUAAUUCUGGCACUUUGGG